rnacentral:rRNA from 1 species
AUUGAACGCUGGCGGCAUGCUUUACACAUGCAAGUCGAACGGUAACAGGCCGCAAGGUGCUGACGAGUGGCGAACGGGUGAGUAAUGCAUCGGAACGUGCCCAGUCGUGGGGGAUAACGCAGCGAAAGCUGUGCUAAUACCGCAUACGAUCUAUGGAUGAAAGCGGGGGACCGUAAGGCCUCGCGCGAUUGGAGCGGCCGAUGUCAGCUUAGGUAGUUGGUGGGGUAAAGGCUCACCAAGCCAACGAUCUGUAGCUGGUCUGAGAGGACGACCAGCCACACUGGGACGUAGACACGGCCCAGACUCCUACGGGAGGCAGCAGUGGGGAAUUUUGGACAAUGGGCGCAAGCCUGAUCCAGCAAUGCCGCGUGCAGGAAGAAGGCCUUCGGGUUGUAAACUGCUUUUGUACGGAACGAAAAGGUUUGGGUUAAUACCCUGGGCCGAUGACGGUACCGUAAGAAUAAGCACCGGCUAACUACGUGCCAGCCGCCGCCGUAA